GCCUGGGUGGCUCAGUCGGUUAGGCAUCUGACUUCGGCUCAGGUCAUGAUCUCUCGGCCCGUGAGUUCGAGCCCCACAUCGGGCU
rnacentral:tRNA from 1 species